rnacentral:rRNA from 1 species
UACGGGGGGGGCAAGCGUUGUUCGGAAUUACUGGGCGUAAAGGGCUCGUAGGUGGCCAACUAAGUCAGACGUGAAAUCCCUCGGCUUAACCGGGGAACUGCGUCUGAUACUGGAUGGCUUGAGUUUGGGAGAGGGAUGCGGAAUUCCAGGUGUAGCGGUGAAAUGCGUAGAUAUCUGGAGGAACACCGGUGGCGAAGGCGGCCCCCUGGUUGGAUACUGACGCUGAGACGCGAAAGCGUGGGGAGCAAACAGG